rnacentral:rRNA from 1 species
AUGAACACUGGCGGCGUGCUUAACACGUGCAAGUCGAACGGAAAGGCCCAAGCUUGCUUGGGUACUCGAGUGGCGAACGGGUGAGUAACACGUGGGUGAUCUGCCCUGCACUUCGGGAUAAGCCUGGGAAACUGGGUCUAAUACCGGAUAGGACCACAUUUUGGAUGGUGUGGUGGAAAGUUUUUCGGUGUGGGAUGAGCUCGCGGCCUAUCAGCUUGUUGGUGGGGUAAUGGCCUACCAAGGCGUCGACGGGUAGCCGGCCUGAGAGGGUGUACGGCCACAUUGGGACUGAGAUACGGCCCAGACUCCUACGGGAGGCAGCAGUGGGGAAUAUUGCACAAUGGGCGCAAGCCUGAUGCAGCGACGCCGCGUGGGGGAUGACGGCCUUCGGGUUGUAAACUCCUUUCGCUAGGGACGAAGCGUUUUUGUGACGGUACCUGGAGAAGAAGCACCGGCUAACUACGUG